rnacentral:tRNA from 1 species
UCUUAGAUGACUGAGAGUAAGUGCUAGACUUUUAAUCUAGAAACGGCGAUUUAUGCCUCUAGGAACC